ACUCGUGUGGCGAACGGGUGAGUAACACGUGGGUGAUCUGCCCUGCACUCUGGGAUAAGCCUGGGAAACUGGGUCUAAUACCGGAUAGGACCAUGCUUUAGUGUGUGUGGUGGAAAGUUUUUCGGUGUAGGAUGAGCCCGCGGCCUAUCAGCUUGUUGGUGGGGUAAUGGCCUACCAAGGCGGCGACGGGUAGCCGGACUGAGAGGUUGGUCGGCCACAUUGGGACUGAGAUACGGCCCAG
rnacentral:rRNA from 1 species